AAGGAGGUGAUCCANCCGCACCUUCCGAUACGGCUACCUUGUUACAACUUCACCCCAGUCGCUAACUUCACCUUCGACGGCUAUCUCCUUUCGGUUAAUUCACCGGCUUCGGGUGCUUCUAACUCCCAUGGUGUGACGGGCGGUGUGUACAAGGCCCGGGAACNUAUUCACCGCGACAUGCUGAUUCGCNAUUACUAGCAACUCCAUCUUCAUGCAGGCGGGUUUCANCCUCCAAUCCGAACUGAGGGUGCUUUUUAAAGUUUNGCUCGCUGUCUCCAGCUCGCUUCCCGUUGUUACACCCAUUGUAGCACGUGUGUAGCCCAAANAUANGGAAUAUUGACNUCANCCCCNCUUCCUCCGAAUUGUCUCCGGAAUCUCACUAAAUCCCACUUAAUGAUGCAAUAACAAUAGGGUUGCNCCCUUGCGGAAUUAACCCACNUCUCNCAANCNAACUGAAAAAACCCUGCCCCCCUGUNUAUCUNUCCNAANGANUCNCCCCNUUANGAAUAUUCAAANAAUUNAAUUCUGGUAG
rnacentral:rRNA from 1 species